CCGCCCUGGUGGCCAAGUGCCUGGGGCUCGGGGGCCGGGGCCGGGGCCGAGC
rnacentral:miRNA from 1 species